rnacentral:rRNA from 1 species
AUUGAACGCUGGCGGCAGGCCUAACACAUGCAAGUCGAGCGGCUCAGCGGACGGGUAAGUAUUGCCAAUGAAUCUGCCUGUUAGCGGUGGAUAAGGUUCGCAAACGGGCGCUAUUACUGAAUACUUUCACUUUAGCCUGGGUCGGAUUAGCUAUUUGUUGGGGUAAAGGUCAACAAGGGCGACGAUCCGUAACUGGUCUGAGAGGAUGAUCAGUCACACUGGGACUGAGACACGGUCCAGACUCCUACGGGAGGCAGCAGUGGGGAAUAUUGGACAAUGGGCGAAAGCCUGAUGCAGCCAUGCCGCGUGUGUGAAGAAGGUCUUCGGAUUGUAAAGCACUUUAAGUUGGGAGGCGUUACCAACAGAAUAAGCACCGGCUAACUUCGUGCCAGCAGCCGCGGUAAUUC